AGAGUUUGAUCAUGGCUCAGAUUGAACGCUGGCGGAAUGCUUUACACAUGCAAGUCGAACGGCAGCACGGGGGCAACCCUGGUGGCGAGUGGCGAACGGGUGAGUAAUACAUCGGAACGUGCCCAGUCGUGGGGGAUAACUACGCGAAAGCGUAGCUAAUACCGCAUACGAUCUACGGAUGAAAGCGGGGGAUCGCAAGACCUCGCGCGAUUGGAGCGGCCGAUGGCAGAUUAGGUAGUUGGUGGGGUAAAGGCUCACCAAGCCUGCGAUCUGUAGCUGGUCUGAGAGGACGACCAGCCACACUGGGACUGAGACACGGCCCAGACUCCUACGGGAGGCAGCAGUGGGGAAUUUUGGACAAUGGGCGCAAGCCUGAUCCAGCCAUUCCGCGUGCAGGAUGAAGGCCCUCGGGUUGUAAACUGCUUUUGUACGGAACGAAAAGCCUUCUUCUAAUACAGGAGGGUCAUGACGGUACCGUAAGAAUAAGCACCGGCUAACUACGUGCCAGCAGCCGCGGUAAUACGUAGGGUGCAAGCGUUAAUCGGAAUUACUGGGCGUAAAGCGUGCGCAGGCGGUUAUGUAAGACAGAUGUGAAAUCCCCGGGCUCAACCUGGGAACUGCAUUUGUGACUGCAUAGCUAGAGUACGGUAGAGGGGGAUGGAACUCCGCGUGUAGCAGUGAAAUGCGUAGAUAUGCGGAG
rnacentral:rRNA from 1 species